GUGCCUCCGGGGGGCACCUUGUUGCUGUGUUGGGCGGCGGGGAGCCGGCCUUCGGGAUCCAUGUUUGGGGCCCUGGGACGUGGGAGAAUGCCGGGGCCUCUCUCUCUGCCCCUGGCACGCCUCUGUGCAGGCCGUGCCUUCCCCCCACCCCCCGGCCCCCACGCAGGGUCCGUGUGGCUGCAGACACCCAGAAAGAGGGGAGGCCCGGGAGGCUGGGGAGCCGUGGAAGCCCGAUGCAGUGCGGGUCUCCAGGUGGAGGGGCCCUGGUCCCCUGGCGCCAGCGUGGCCCUUCCUCCUUGUGGAAACCCUUGUGGUGUGUGUGCCCUCUCGCCCUGACCCAGGAGAGCAGCGUGGCGGACCCCUGAUCUUGUCGCGUGCCACCGAGCGAGGCCGAGGAGCUCCCACAGACCAGUGGGCGUGCCGUCUUUUAGGGGUAUUUUUGGAGACCUGUCUUUGAUGGAAGCAUCAAUGAUUGAAGAUCAGCAGCAGCAUGGAACCCUGGGCCUAUUUGGAGAUACCAAGUGAGUUCCCAGAGGCAAGGAGCUCCCAGAGGCAAGUUUAUGAUGGCCUAUUUAGGGGAUCAUGGAGGCCUGGUGAUGGUUGAAAUGGACCAAAAAUUAGGCUUCAUAGGGAUGAGUUUAUGGGGGAUUUUAUUCCUUCUCCUUGAUAUGUGCUGUGAAGGAAAGUAUUAGAAGUAAUUCUACCUUCCAUCCUCAAGGACCAGUGUGAAUUCUAAUACCAGUAAGUGUUGUCCUGAAAAUAAUCACAUUUCUCCUAGGGAAUCAUAACA